rnacentral:rRNA from 1 species
UGAGGAAUAUUGGUCAAUGGGCGAGAGCCUGANCCAGCCAAGUAGCGUGCAGGAUGACGGCCCUCCGGGUUGUAAACUGCUUUUAGUUGGGAAUAAAAAAAGGGACUUGUCCCUUCUUGUAUGUACCUUCAGAAAAAGGACCGGCUAAUUCCGUGCCAGCAGCCGCGGUAAUACGGAAGGUCCAGGCGUUAUCCGGAUUUAUUGGGUUUAAAGGGAGCGUAGGCGGAUUGUUAAGUCAGCGGUUAAAGGGUGUGGCUCAACCAUGCAUUGCCGUUGAAACUGGCGAUCUUGAGUGCAGACAGGGAUGCCGGAAUUCGUGGUGUAGCGGUGAAAUGCUUAGAUAUCACGAAGAACUCCGAUCGCGAAGGCAGGUGUCCGGGCUGCAACUGACGCUGAGGCUCGAAAGUGUGGGUAUCAAACAGGAUUAGAUACCCUGGUAGUCCACACAGUAAACGAUGUAUACUCGCGGUUUGCGAUAGACAGUAAGCCGCCAAGCGAAAGCAUUAAGUAUACCACCUGGGGAGUACGCCGGCAACGGUG